CAAAGAAAGGGGUGGCAGGUCCCAAACAAUUCCAGAACCCGGCUAAUUCCAUUACAACAGAAUGGGGUCCUGAAGGUAAGCUGUGGACAGAGGCUUGUUUGUCACUCACAGAACAAAAUGACUCCUUGGUUAUGAUUCAAAAAACAAGGAAAUCAAUGCAGAAUUACAUCAGAAGCACAUUAUGGGUCAGAACGUUGCAGAUUACAUGCAUUGCCCUCAUGGAAGAAGAUGAAGAUGCUUACAAGAAACAAUGCUGUCAGUAUAUAAAGAACAGUGCAGCUCCAAAUGUAAGAGAGGAAAUGUAUCAGAAAGCUCAGGCUGCUAUACAAGAGAAUCCAAUCUAUGAAAAGAAGCCUAAGAAAGAUGUUAAGAAGGGAAAGUGGAAUCAUCUCAAAAUGUUUCUUGCUGAGAAGAAAGACUGAGUAGCUCAGAAGACCAACUUCCUCCGAGCUCCGGAGUGGGCCUCUAAAAGCUAAAAAACUAAGCUGCAAUUUUCUUUGAAGAUUUUUUCAGAAUUCUGUUCCAUCUGUGAAGUCCUAACUACAAGCAAGGCCUCUCCAACAAAGCUUCUGCUCCAGUUACCAGACUCAUUCCAAAAAUAGAAGCACUGUUAUGAAAUGGCCAGACCAUUGGCAAAGCACAGAAAGGACUCCAGCCUCUGUGUCUCGGGGACAGCAACCGUCUUCGACAGCCUUGUUUUGAUGUACAAACACCAGACUGGAAAGUCUCCAUGAAGCAGAGCUGUUUCUACGAUAGUAAAAACUUGGAAGACUUCCCAAAGGCUUCCAUCUGGUGGCAAAGCAGGCUCCUUCUUCAUCUUCUUUGGCUGAGAUCUCAAACCAGUGUCUUUUGGGAAAAUGUCUUGAAAAUAAGCAAUCCACCAAAAUCAUUACCUCUCAGAAUAAGACAAGCCCCUCAACUGGAAUGAUGAAGUGCAGGUGACAACAAAGAACUGGAUGACAUUCUCUAGACUUUAUUUCAUUGGAAUCAAUAGGAAACAAUGGCGGUAAAGGGGAACAUAUUUACCCCACUUUUGGGUUCUGAGGCUGCUACAAGAAGAGUAUGUGAAAGCAUUUUUUAAUGCAUAAAAUGGUACAUAAAUGCAAGCAUCAUUAUUAUGUUAAAGGCUCUGGGGAUCAGAGAGCAGAGGCACAGUAUUCUCAAAGCUUUUCUCACUUCCAGGAAUAACAAAGAUGAUUAAAAGCCUACAGUGUGCCAGAAGGGAGGCGGAGAGAGAGGGAAGGGGAUCGAAUAAGGACAAGACUGAGACCCAGACAAGAAGGAGGAAGUCCGAGGAACAUAUUCCCAGAUCAUUCCAGAGAAGAAGCCCACGUGGUCAAGACACAGUGUUUUACGAUCCAACUUUCACCAACAAAGGUUCUGGAACUAGUUAGCAUUAUGAUUUAUAAUUAAGAAGGUAGAAGAAAGCAACCAGAUGAUAGCUGCAUACUUGAUUGUCAAGCUCUGAUUUUGGGUCAACCUAAUCUAAAAAAGUGUCCUUCCACCCUUAAUAAAACUUAAGUAUUUGGGAGGAGCCAAGAUGGCAGAACGGCAUGGAAGUUUUUUGUGUGUCUCAUGUCUGUGAAAUACAGCCAGACCAACACUAAACCAUCCUACACACCUAGAAAACUGAUUGGAGGAUUAACACAACAAUUUGCACAACCUGAACCACAGAAUUCAGCAGUUAUAGGGAUCUUGAUCUCUGACUUUUGGCCUUUGAAUUUGUCAAGUCAAGCCACUGCCAUGCUUUGGGAAACCAGAAGAUGCAUCUUGCUUUCUGCAGGUCUUUUCAGAGCAUCCUACAAACUGCUUGGCAUAUGUUGGCUCAUCUGAUCUGCAUGACAACCCUGAGGAAAUCAAAUCAGAAAAAUAAAAACUUAUCCAUUUUCUCAGCUUUAGAAAGUAAAGUGACUGAGUUACUGGACACUCUAUGCUUUUGUGCAUCUAGAAGGGAGCCAAAUCUACUUGAGAUAAAUUUGGAGCCAAGUAUAUCUGGAAUCAAAUCUCAGGGCUUUAUCUCCAUGAUCUAUUGGCAGAGGCUGAUUUGAGGGCGCUUAUCCUCCAAGUAAACCCAAUGAAGUUCAAUCAUUUAAUGACAAACUCUCUUGCUCUUUGCCUCACAACUCAUCCACAGACUGAGCAAGAUUCUUGGUAUGGCAUCCAGGAAUCAGCAAGCCUUGCAAGAGACAUCUGUGACAUGUGUCAUGAAUUCACAGCAAUGACAUCUUCAAGGUGACCCACUGGUGCUUCUCAGUGUUUCCCUAAGUCCAGAGCAGCAUAUCUGCUGAUGGUAGCAGAACACCUGAAGUUCCAAAAUGCCUACAGGGGUGAGCAAGGAAAUAUCACAGAAUACAACAGGAGACUUUCUUGGGUUGCAUGAUCCUGGCAUAUAAAAAAAUAACAAAUAAAAAAAUUGGCAGACCAA